rnacentral:rRNA from 1 species
CCUACGGGAGGCUGCAGUGGGGAAUAUUGCACAAUGGGCGCAAGCCUGAUGCAGCCAUGCCGCGUGUGUGAAGAAGGCCUUCGGGUUGUAAAGCACUUUCAGCGGGGAGGAAGGCGGUGAGGUUAAUAACCUCAUCGAUUGACGUUACCCGCAGAAGAAGCACCGGCUAACUCCGUGCCAGCAGCCGCGGUAAUACGGAGGGUGCAAGCGUUAAUCGGAAUUACUGGGCGUAAAGCGCACGCAGGCGGUCUGUCAAGUCGGAUGUGAAAUCCCCGGGCUCAACCUGGGAACUGCAUUCGAAACUGGGAGGCUAGAGUCUUGUAGAGGGGGGUAGAAUUCCAGGUGUAGCGGUGAAAUGCGUAGAGAUCUGGAGGAAUACCGGUGGCGAAGGCGGCCCCCUGGACAAAGACUGACGCUCAGGUGCGAAAGCGUGGGGAGCAAACAGGAUUAGAUACCCGGGUAGUC